rnacentral:lncRNA from 1 species
ACAGUAUCUCAUAUUACGUGUACGACAGGAUCAACAGAGUAUCUAAAUCCACAUAAAAAUUUUGCAGUAAAAGAUUAAUUACACAUUCUAAGAGUUGUGCCAUAACCUGAAAAGAUUGAGUUCCUAGACAGCAUCAACUCAUCAUGGAGUUCAACAGUGAACUAUUUGAAUACUUGAACAAGGGGUUUGGUAAAUAGGCAGGCCGUUAAAGAAAAUUAUGACAGAACACUGAUACAGUCCUAAAUCCUAAACAUGAAGUACCGACAUUAAACUUUUUGCAGUGAUGGGUAUGGAACCAAGUAGCAUAAAAAUUGUAAUCUAAGAAAAGAAUUAGGAUUUUGGAUACCAUCGUAGUAGUUAUCAAGAAACAUCGUAGUAAAACAAUUUGACUACAAUUGGUGAAGUUUAUAAGAAAGAGCCUUCAUUUGGUUUAACCUCCAAAAUCCCCCAAAAGAAUGAAAUAAUGAAAACAAAAAUGCACGAAAGAAGUAUAAUGGGCAUUCUAUGCCUACGUUCUGAUUUGAUUGUUAAUUUAUGUUGGACUUUCUAACUUGAAUGCUUUUGUUGGUAGAUGAAUGAUAAACAACAAUGCAAAUAUUGAGGUAAAAGAAUCUUAGGGUUCAAUUAACCCUUUCUUCAACUUAAAUAAGUUUGCAGUAUAAAGGUAACAACUUGAAUCUCAAGAAAGUAAAGAAACAACUACAAGCAGAAUAACCAUUUAAAAAGCAGCAGAUGAAAGGUCGUAGAUAAGAGAUACCUCCUCAUUCUUAUGUUCAAUCAAUGGAAUAUGACAGGGUGAAACACAAGGAUUAGCAUUUGCAGAAAUCUCCAGCUUCUUGCCUGAUACAUCCUAGACGAUCUCAACAAAUUAAUCUUCAGGGAUAAGAUAUGUGAUGAGGAACCACCAAACUCACUAAACUCCCAGAUGGAAACUUAUCUUCAGGACUUUGUGGUUAGAAAUUAUGCAAAGAUAGAAUUACCUUAACUAUAUACAUCCUUCCAAAAGAAUCCACUAUCACCUAAUGUUACUAUUUCAAUUAAAUUGUGGCUACGUGUAGGCCAAAUGACCUUCACUAAGAAUAUAUGAACUUUUCACUUCAUUGCAGAAGAGGAUAAAUUUGUCAUUUACUCAGCCAGAGACAUAUAAUCCAGCGAAGAUAUGUUAUAUGCAACAACCAAGAAGCAUUUGAAAGUAUCCUUGCACUAGACAUCUAUCUGCACUUCAUCACAUCCUAUAAAUAUUAACCUUCCUGACCAAGGAACACUAAUUGCCAAUAGACAAAUGCUUACAACCAUUGCAGUUUGGAAUAGACUCGAAAUGAGAUAAGAACGAGAACCAUAACAAACUCUUUAGUUAUGAAAGUUUGUAAUCCAUGCAUUAAAACGAUUUGUUUAUAAAACAUGUUUUCCCUAAUUAAGUUGGAAAAAGGUUAUCCUUCAGUAUUUCUUAAAUAAGGCAAAAAAAAAUAAAGCAAGCUAAAGAGAAAUCUUACUCCAUAUUAACAUACUUGAGCUAUUAGGAUUUAAAUUGAAAAAAUAUCAAAUACCAAUAAAUGAUGGAACAUCCUCCAUGACCAAUCAUUUCGAUCCCAAAGCCAAAGCCUUUUAGAACUAUAUGAUCUUGCAGUAACUGUAGUUCAAUAAGAGGAUCUCACUGAACAAACGAAGAAAAUAAACGAACAGGUUCUUAACAUGGUUGAGUGGCUGGGGGAUAUGCCAAGUAGUUGGCAUCCUUAACACACCGAUCACUUGAGUGGAGGACAGUAUUCCACUUUAUUAGCUAUUAUUAGAGUAACUUUUUUUGAGAAAAUAUAAAGUAACUGUAAGUCUUGAUGAAAGACAUCCUUGAGAAAUUUGUUAAGAUAGCAAAAAUAUCUCCUACUUAGCUGUCUUCAGAUGACCAUGUAGGCUAUUAUAGUUACAUAAAAGGUUCCUUUAGACAAUGAAAUGAAUUUCAUGCCAAUUGUGAUACCACCAAUAGAAUGGACAAGCAGAACAAGUACUUACUCCAUACUAUUAUAGUUACAUAAAAGGUUCCUCUAGAAAAUGAAAUGAAUUUCAUGCCAAUUGUGAUACCACCAAUUGAAUAAACAAGCAGAAGAGAGAAAUUUGGUUGUGAAUAAAAUGUAAUAUACCCAGUAACAGUCGGAAAAAUUUCUGGCCCCUUCACACUUCUAGGAAUUAAUAUAACAACUCAAGUGACAAAAAAAAAAUCAUGUUUACUAGAAUUAGAGAUCAAACAUCUCACAAGCAAUCAGAUUUCUCCAAUAAUGUUUAACACUAUACUUGCAUCCCCAUGAUGCAAAGAUUUCAAGUCAACAAACCCAAGAACACCACAUUAUGGUAUUACCACAAUUCAUUCCCAUAAAACAAAACCCAUUCAUUCUAGGAGAAGGUUUUGUCCACUCAAAGCUGAUCAAGAGAAUAAAAAACCCCUCAAAUUAUUUCUUAAUAAUUUAAUCCCCAAGAUUUGCACCCAUCACCAUAUUACAGAAACUGAUCCAAGAAUAGAAACCCACUAACCUAAAACAUGCCCUUAGCUUCUUAACAGGAGAAAAAAAAAAACCCAAAUCUGACACCCACAAUGAUCCAAAUUACAGUUCAGUUUAUCAACGACAAUGAUCAACGCACAGAUCAAGAACCAAGAGCAGCAAACCCACUAACCUGAAAAAUGCCCUUCAGACUCUUAACAGGAGAAAGAGAACCCAAAUCCCACCAAGGCAUCGUACCAACCAAUUGAAAAACACAGAGACAUACACAAUGAUGCAAGUAAUAAUUAAGUUGGUUAGUAGAAAGUUAUGAUAAAACACAAGCAACAACCAUCUUAUCCGUGAGGUUCACUCACAGAAUACACAUGAAAGGGACUCAUACGCAGUAAUUAUGAAGAGUAGUUGAAGUGGAAAAUAUUUGACGGAAGAAGAUAACAAGAAGAAAGUGGAGAGAACGUCGUGAUUAGAAAAUAAAGAUAAAAAGCAAUACUCAAAUUAAAAUAAACAUAUAUAUAUGUAUAUGUAUAUGUGUAUAUAUCAUACCUUACGGCAUUACAGGUUUCUGCAAUGGAAUUUGACGACGACAAAAUAUUUGGAUUUGGCGGAUGACUGGGAUCUGUUUUUUUCGCCACAUCUUCUGGUCAGCCAUUUGAAGUUCUAAAGGAAUUUUUCCAUUUGCAGGAAAUUCUAAUCAGUUAUUUUAUUAUGUAACCAAAUAUACUAAAUUACUAUUUUGAAACAUUUAAAUUAAUUUUUUAUUAUUUUAAUUAUAUAAUUAUAUCUUUAUUUUUUUAAAUU